GACAGAGGCCUCGAGCGUUAGGCGGAAUCACUGGGCUUAAAGCGUGUGUAGGCGGGUCCGUAAGUGUCUUGUGAAAUCCCACGGCUCAACCGUGGAACUGCUGGGCAUACUGCGGGUCUUGGGCCAACUAGGGGCAGCCGGAACAAGCGGUGGAGCGGUGAAAUGCGUAGAUAUCGGGAGGAACACCAGUGGCGAAGGCGGCUACCUGGACCAGCACUGACACUGAGGCACGAAAGCGUGGGGAGCAAACAGG
rnacentral:rRNA from 1 species